UACGGGGGGGGCAAGCGUUGUUCGGAAUUACUGGGCGUAAAGGGCUCGUAGGCGGCCAACUAAGUCAGACGUGAAAUCCCUCGGCUCAACCGAGGAACGUCGAUCGAUACUGCUGUUCUUGAGGAUUGCAGAGGAGACUGGAAUUCCCGGUGUAGCGGUGAAAUGUGUAGGAGUACGGUGGAGGAACACCGGUGGCGAAGGCGGGUCUCUGGGCAAUUCCUGACGCUGAGGCGCGAAAGCGUGGGGAGCAAACGGG
rnacentral:rRNA from 1 species